GCGCAGCUCCCAGAGUAAAAAGUACAUAUCUUUUUGAAAGUGCUGUUAUUGAGAAAUUUUGAUUACCAAAUACAUCGUUUAUGACUUAUAUUGUAGUGGUGUGUAUGAAACAUUUAGAACUUAUGGAAAUUGUAUAUACAGAGAAAAGUUGAAAUAGGUCUUUCCAAAUCGUAUGUGAAUGGAGAACCACAUAUGACUGUACAUGACGUGCAAUAAACCAACUGG
rnacentral:lncRNA from 1 species